UAAGGAAUAUUGGUCAAUGGACGCAAGUCUGAACCAGCCAUGCCGCGUGAAGGAUGAAGGUCCUCUGGAUUGUAAACUUCUUUUAUCUGGGACGAAAACGGGAUUUUUAUCUCAAUUGACGGUACCAGAGGAAUAAGCACCGGCUAACUCCGUGCCGGCAGCCGCGGUAAUACGGAGGGUGCGAGCGUUAUCCGGAUUUACUGGGUUUAAAGGGUGCGUAGGUGGGCUUAUAAGUCAGUGGUGAAAUCUCCGAGCUUAACUUGGAAACUGCCGUUGAUACUAUAGCUCUUGAAUUAUCUGGAGGUAAGCGGAAUAUGUCAUGUAGCGGUGAAAUGCUUAGAUAUGACAUAGAACACCAAUUGCGAAGGCAGCUUACUACAUAUAAAUUGACGCUGAGGCACGAAAGCGUGGGGAUCAAACA
rnacentral:rRNA from 1 species